ACUAGGGAGCAACAAAACCCACUGUUACAGGCAACCAUCAUUCCAUAGUACUGCUUAUCACUCACCUGCCAAGAUGGAUCCAGAAGUGGAGAAUCUGAAGUUUGAGAUUAAAUGAACUCUUAUCCAACUG